rnacentral:rRNA from 1 species
GGUAGGGUAACGGCUUACCAAGGGGGACGAAUUUCUAGNNNUUCUGAGAGGAGAAUCCCCCCACACUGGUACUGAGACACGGACCAGACNNNUACGGGAGGCAGCAGUAAGGAAUAUUGGUCAAUGGGCGGAAGCCUGAACCAGCCAUGCCGCGUGCNNNNNGACUGCNNNNUGGGUUGUAAACUGCUUUUGUCCAGGAAUAAACCUAAAUACGUGUAUGUAGCUGAAUGUACUGGAAGAAUAAGGAUCGGCUAACUCCGUGCCAGCAGCCGCGGUAAUACGGAGGAUCCGAGCGUUAUCCGGAUUUAUUGGGUUUAAAGGGUGCGUAGGCGGCCUAUUAAGUCAGGGGUGAAAUACGGUGGCUCAACCAUCGCAGUGCCUUUGAUACUGAUGGGCUUGAAUCCAUUUGAAGUGGGCGGAAUAAGACAAGUAGCGGUGAAAUGCAUAGAUAUGUCUUAGAACUCCGAUUGCGAAGGCAGCUCACUAAGCUGGUAUUGACGCUGAUGCACGAAAGCGUGGGGAUCGAACAGGAUUAGAUACCCUGGUAGUCCACGCCCUAAACGAUGAUAACUCGAUGUUGGCGAUAGACAGCCAGCGUCCAAGCGAAAGCGUUAAGUUAUCCACCUGGGGAGUACGCCCGCAAGGGUGAAACUCAAAGGAAUUGACGGGGGCCCGCACAAGCGGAGGAGCAUGUGGUUUAAUUCGAUGAUACGCGAGGAACCUUACCCGGGCUUGAAAGUUAGUGAAGAAUGCAGAGACGCAUUCGUCCUUCGGGACACGAAACUAGGUGCUGCAUGGCUGUCGUCAGCUCGUGCCGUGAGGUGUUGGGUUAAGUCCCGCAACGAGCGCAACCCCUAUGUUUAGUUGCCAGCAUGUAAUGGUGGGGACUCUAAACAGACUGCCUGUGCAAACAGUGAGGAAGGUGGGGACGACGUCAAGUCAUCAUGGCCCUUACGUCCGGGGCUACACACGUGCUACAAUGGAUGGUACAGCGGGCAGCUACAUAGCAAUAUGAUGCUAAUCUCUAAAAGCCAUUCACAGUUCGGAUUGGGGUCUGCAACUCGACCCCAUGA